GACGGCUACACCAGAGCCAGGAAGCGAAGCUAACAUAACGGUCCUAACGGUCCUCUAGGCCUGGAGGAAGAGAUGUUCCUCAGCAUCGUCAACACACAAUGAGGACAUGAAUGAAGAGACUGAAGAAGCAGAGGGCUGUGAGCAGCUUCCUGCUGAAGGUGAGGAGAUUUUCCCCAUCAUCGAGAUGCCUCAACCACUGCCUUUAAAAAAAUGCCGCCGUCCGUCAAACGCCUCCCACCCUUGUUCGCUGUGCGACAGGGUGUUCGUCUGUCCCUCUCGGCUGGCCGAUCAUUUAGCCGCUCACGCAGGAGAGAAACGCCACAGCUGCUCCGUGUGCGGGAAGCGCUUCACCAAGAAGACCAACCUGACUGUGCAUCAGCGAGUCCACACGGGUGAGAAGCCGUACUCCUGUCCGGACUGCGGGGUCAGCUACGCCCAGCAGAGCUGCCUGCGGCGGCACCGACUCGGACACGCCCCAGAGAAACCCUUCUCCUGCUUCCUGUGUGGCCGCGGCUUCGUUCAGCGGCGGUAUCUGGUCCAACACGAGCGGACUCACACCGGGGAGAAACCGUUCGUCUGUCCGCUGUGCCCCAAAAGCUUCGCCUCCAGGACGGGCUUCAAUGAACACCAGAGGACUCACGCAGAGCAGAACCUCUCCUGUUCACUCUGUGAGAAGGGUUUCACCACGCCGUCGGCGCUCAGAGACCACCUGAGGAACCACUCAGGUGCCAGGCUCCACCCCUGCUCACUUUGUGAAAAGAGCUUCAACCGGCCGGGUCUGCUGAAGAAACACCUGCAGAGACACGAGGAGGAGAGGGAGCUGAUGGAAGCAGCGAGUCAAGAGAACAGCGAGGGAACUCUUCGCCGCUGCUUUAAGUGCCGUAAAGAUUUCCCAUCCCAUGAGGAUCUCCAGGAGCACGAAGAGCUUCACCUGAUGGUGCCGCCGUUCGUGUGCGAAGUCUGCGGCCGCAGUUUCCGCAGAGCGUCUCGGCUGAGAGACCACAGGAGGAUCCACACCGGAGAGAGACCUUUUCAGUGUGACAUCUGCAUGAAGAGAUUCUCUGCACAGUGCGUGUUCAAGAAACACCUGAAGCUCCACAAGAAGAAGGCAGAGAGCGCCGCCGUGACGACAGACAACGGGUCCAUGAAGGUCGAAGGCGAUGAGAAGGAACCAGACGAGCCGGGCCGUGAAGGCAGCACGGCCCCAGGUUCGACGCUGAGCUGUAGUCUUAACGGGCUGCUGGGGAUAAAAGUGGAGAUCGUGGAGGACGACCACGAUGGAGGGGAAGCGGUGCAUUCACAGCCCAGUGCAAACAAUCCCAGCAGCCCUAAGAAGCUCCACAGCUGCUGCAUCUGUGGACAGAGCUUCUCUGAGCUGUCUGAACUCAAAGACCACUUUAAGAUCCACGCCAUGGAGACAUCGCAGCGCUGCUCCACCUGCACAAAGACUUUCAGCACCAUCAGCAGCCUGAGGAAUCACGAGAGGAUCCACAGAAAACGGCACGCCUGCACCAUCUGCUCCCGCAACUUCCUGAAGCCCUGCCAGCUCCGAAAACACAUGAGGACGCACAUCAAGGACGGACUCCUGCAGGACCCCGCAGACCAGGAGUUCUGGCUGAAGAUGAAGACUGAGGAGGAGGAGAAAGAGGAAGGCAAUGACCUGAAUGAGCAGAACCCAGCAGACCUCUCCACCUCCUCUGGGCCCUUCAUCACUGAGCCCACACCUCUACCUGGUAACCAUGGCGACCAGGGCGGUUUAUUGUUGAAGAGGGAUGAAAUAAAAAAAGAGGAUGGAAACGUCAGCGGGCUGAUCAACUCUGAUGGAGAGGAAGAGGAAUGGAGGCCGGUGAUCAUCGAUCAAGAUGGCCGCCCAGAGACGCAGACGGCUGACAGCAGCGAUGGGAAAAAGAAGCACUGCUGUCCCGUCUGUGGUCGAAACUGCUUCAAAGCUUCGUCGCUGCAGAAACACCUGAGGAUCCACUCAGGUGAGCGUCCGUUUCAGUGCCCCACCUGUAAGAAGAGCUUCAUCCAGCACAUCCACAUGAAGGAGCACCUGAGGACCCACACGGGGGAGAAACCCUACACCUGUGCCAAAUGUGGGAAGUGCUUUACCUUCUCCAGCGCCCUGCGCCGACACGAGCAGCUGCACACGGACGGCCGGCCCUUCAGCUGCCCUGUCUGCCAGAAAACCUUCAAACAGCAGAGGACGCUGAGGAAACACCAGCUGACGCACGCGGCGGGGAUCCGCUUCCACUGCCCGCUGUGCAGCCGGAGCUUCAGCGAUGCCCUGGAGCUGACCUACCAUGUGGAGACGCACUCAGAGACGCAUGCUGUCCUUCGGCAACACCAGCAAGUAGGGCUGCUAUGAUAGCGGGAGUAUCUACUACACUCAGUCCUUGUUUCCAAUGAAAAACUCUCUUAACUGCAGAAAUCUCAGUGGCGCCGUGUUCAUGCAGAAAUGUUCCAAGUGUUUAAUUUAGACGUGGUGCAGAACUCGACCUGCAGCUCUAGACCGAAUCAUUCCUCUCUUACAGACCCGUCUAACAAAAGACACACGAUUAUUUAACGCUUUGGCACUUUCCAGUUCUUUUGUUGAUUGAAAUGAUGGAGAUUUUGGGUUAAUAUUGAAAAAAGGUCAACAUUUUUAUCAAGAUCAUCCACAAGAAGAACCUAAACAAAGCCCUGAUCCAUGGCAACCACAAAAGAAGACCCUGAACUCUCACUGAGACCAAGACCAGCUCAGACUGAUGGGGCGAGUCUCUGUGGACGCUCUGAGCUUUUCUGCAGCCGGUCAGGUUCAUUAGAAGUUUCCAGAUAACCGGUGAAGCCACAGCAGUAGAUUCUAGUCAGACCUAAGCUUGAGUUUAACUUCUGUAUAAACCUGUGAUGACAGGUAGACCCACGUUUCCAGUCCUGCUGCCACAUUUCCUGCUUUUUUAUUUCCAAGAAACCCCGCUGACUGUCGCUGAGAGUAUUCUGGAGACGAUGGACAUUCAGGAAUGCUGCAGUGCAAAUUAGAAAAGAGGGCAGACAUCGGAGGAGACUGCACAUAUUCUGCUGAAUCAGCUGAUGCAGAGGACGGGGACGUUUGUUUAACCCUCAGCUUGACUUUCCAAUAGACCAUGGUUUUGCUGACCUCCAUGGGCCUCCAGUUUGGCUGGAUCCUAGAAACCUCCCCCUUUAUCCCCCCUUAAGGACGGCCCUGUCUCCGCACGACUGUUCUUAAAUGUUCAUGGAUGUUCGACCACCUUCAGGUACAGUGGGGGUCCCCGGUCUCUGGCACCUUUAUUUCGGGGGUCCUGGGAUUAAAAGGGCUGAGAACUACUGCCUCAAGGUAAGGUUUAGGCAUUUUACACGUUUCAUCCUUCAUUUGUUGAUAUUCUGGCUGUGUUCAUGUUCACUGAUGAAUUUUAACAGGGUCAACAUUUACCCUUCAGCUGUGAUGAAUUAUGGAAAGGAAAAAACUGAACUGAAAAAAAGAGAAGUCAAAAUGUCAGGUUCCAAGGCACAACAUCUAAGCUGAGCAGAAGGGAUCAGAGAUGAAGGACACCCGCCUCAUCCUACAGACCAGACUAAAACUCUGAUGAAAUCAGGCUCACUCUGACUCAGUGGUGACAGCAACAGGUUUAUUA